AUUAAAGAUGUCCAAUUCUUUUUUGUUUCCACCUAACUAACUGAUUUAAAGUUGUCACUUUACUUUACUCAACAACGCUUAACAUUCUUCUCGAAGAAGUUUCUAAUAUUUUUCAUGGAAAUAUGCAGCCAAAAAAAGCUUUUGUCGCAUGUAGGCCGAAAAACGUACAAAGUUUCAUGCACGUAUUGUUUAUGUUUGGCCCGAUCCACCUAUCAUAUCUCUAACACGACAUGGCAGAUUAAGGGGUUAAGAACAAAGUGUCGGCCCUGUGCUGUCCAUGCUUCGAGCUCGUGUACCUAUUUACAUCCACCACGUCGUUUCUUUGAACCGACUUCAAACUGUAGACUGACGUAGAGUACAAGAGGCAACUACGAUUACGACAGAGAGUGAAAAGCGACAAAGAGACAACUUUGAUCUCGCAAAGAAUCAACAGUCGUUAAUUAGACACGUGCCAGCUACGUUUCACGAGGCAGCCUCGUAUUGUCUGUACGCAGUGAAAUUUGCCAAUGAUCCGACGUCAUGAUCCGCCACGGCGCGUGUAGGACGCUAAGAAUAUCCUGGAAGGUCCUGGCUACAGGGUGAGGAGGAUGACGAACCUUUUGGCGGGAGGACUGAGAUCUAACUCUCCCAAGAAACCAGCGAUAUGUAUUUCUAACCAAGCAAGCAGUAUAAGUACACUCGUAUGCGACCCGGCUAUCAAAAAUACAUACAUAUGUAUAAAGCUGCCAAAUCUAUCGCCGGUAUGAAACCUCAAUAAUACGUCACGUAUCUACACCGGAUCUAGACGUCGAGAUUCAAAAUAAAUCCAUGGUAAUAAUUCUUAUAUUAAUAGUUAUAAGUAUGACAGCUAAGUAUUGAAGAAAUUAAAGGGAAUAUAAAUUACAACUAUUUUACACGAUGAAGCAGCAUGCGGGUACGCGUUGCGCACGCCAAGAAACGCGCGCACACAAUUACAUCAAGUUACGCAUCCACACGUAUACACACUGAUGCUCACACCGAUCGAGACAAUGCGUCAAAGCAGAGGCGGUAAUAAUCAUUCACCUUUCAUGUAAUAUCAAAAACUAAUAGAUCUAAUCUCUUCAAGGCAACAAACGAGAAUAUAUACCGAAUAUAAUCUGCAGAAGAAAUGAAACAUCGGAUAGUUGAAACGACUCAAGAAUGGAUCCACCGAGAACACGAUACAAUUGCGUUCAUACGCGACGAGUUUCUCGCGAUAUCUUUCACGGACACGCGGGAAAAUCAUUCAGCCGAUAUCUGGUAAAAUCGUAAAAUUACACCAACGAAAGUUCGAUCAUGGUUUCUGUUAUCAAACAAGACACUAUUAAGAAUCUAUGAGAGAGAAACUGAGCGAAAGUAUCCGGCCGUGGUACUCGACUGUUCGAUUUCUGCACACCAAAUUCGAUAUCCCUAUCACAAACUUUUCCAGCUGAAUAACGAACGUCGUAAUCACGAAAAAUAUUGUUAAUGAUUCUAACAUCGACAUGAAUAUGUAGUAGAGUAUUUAUGAAUUUAUAAAACAGAGUUGUUAGACAUAUAUUCACCACAAUAUCGAGAUGCACGAUAGUAGGCGCGGCUUUUCACCCCGUAUAGAGAGAAACGAUUUCGUGUCAGUGAUUUGUC